rnacentral:misc_RNA from 1 species
ACUUCUUGUGGAUUUCGAUCAGGUAGUCUUUAAAGGCAAUUUGAUUCACUUAUAUAUUACUCUGCCUAAAUCUCUUGCUAGUUAUAUUUUUUUGUCACAAAAUAUUCUAAUGUAUCCACAUGUUUGGUUGUCCCUUAUCCUGUUUCAUUUUACAACGUUCCCUUCCUCCUUACACCAUUCCUUAUUCGUUAAAGCAGGAUCAAAGUCGACAACAUGAAAUUUCAGAUUUUAAUCACCUUUUUCCUUUGUCUAAAAUUUAGAGAUGCAUCAUAUAGUUAUUGAACUACAAGAACUAUAGAUUAUUG